ACGGAAAUGAAUUAGCUGAUCGCCUAGC
rnacentral:sRNA from 1 species